UUAUGGGAGUUGGCCACCUGUCAAAUCCCUUGGAAAGGCUUGAAUCCAAUGCAGGUUGUGGGAGCUGUUGGAUUCCAAAAUAAGCGUCUUGAGAUUCCAGAGGAUGUUGAUCCGGCCAUUGCACAGAUAAUACAUGAUUGUUGGCAAAGGGAGCCACACUUGCGACCCUCUUUUUCACAACUUAUAUCCCGUCUGCGUCACAUUCAAAAUUUACAUGUUGAAAGAACAUAACAUACAUAUCAAACAACAGAAUAACCGGAACAGUACUACUGUAGUUUAGGUUGUUUCUCAUCUCAAAGAGCCGGAGCAGCCCUUUUUUUUUCCCGUUUCUUUUAUUUGAUGCCAAGAAAGAUACUACUUGACAGGCAAGUGUUGGUUCAUUCAAAGUGGGGACUCAGCACAAGCCUGUUGAUUCGACACAGAGUGGACAUUCUCCCAAUUAAACUGCAUAAGUGCAGAGGAGAAUGCCAUCGGAAAGUUGCUUUUAGUAGCAUAAAUAGUUAUUGUCAUUAAUCUUACAUGUAAGAAAAAAAAAUCCUGAAAUGGGAAAAAGAAAAAAUAAUCUUUCAAUUUUUCUUUCUUUCUCUGUGGAGGUCUCGUUUGGGUAAGCAAUCCAAACUCCAGAAUUGUAAACA
rnacentral:misc_RNA from 1 species